GUUAACAUAUACCUCCAGAUCUCUAAAAAUCAAAGAUUAAAUACUGAAAUUGAAUACAAAGAUGAAGAGAGAAAAUUCCCUAAAGGUUUCUUGGUUUGAUUUUAUUGAGGAAGUUGAGAGAUGUUGAGUUGGACCUCAAGUCAUCAUCUGACAAGAAAAAGAAAGCUACACACUGUCAUUACAACUUUCUUUGGUCAUCUUCUCUCCCAGGGUGCCACUCAUUAAACUGCCACAGUACUAACCUCACCAUGCAAGAGGGACACUGAAGGAAGAAGGGCUUCUCUUCCUGGGUCUGCUGUGCUUCUUCCUGUUUGUGUGGAUCUCACCUAGCAUGGGUGUCAUCCAGUGAAGCUCCUCUGUGAUGCAUUAAGCAUGUGGCUUUGUAAUGCUCCUAGACACUACAGAUGGUUUCUUAGAAGUAAGUUCCAUGCAUUUCAGCUUCUGGUUGAAUUCUGCAGACUUCUCAGCAUGAAUUCCAAGGGGCCUCCAUGCUGCUUCCUGGAGCCUUGUGAAUGUUGGCCUUUUGCCAAAAGACUGAGAAGCGAUAAGAAUGACUGAUAUUAAUGGCUGCUCAAGCGCGAAGAACCUGUAAUUCUCCCACCAGAGUGAUGCUUCCUUCUGCAGGUAAAACAUCUAUUCAUCAACAAUAUUUUUUCUCUACCUACAGUACAGAACAUGACAUCUCAGAUUGCUGCCUCUGACAGCCAGAAAUCAGGGUUCUCAUGGCAAAACUGUGCAGAAAUAAUUACCCCUACUUACUGGAACAUUAAAGUGUAGUACUGAUAUACCAUUAGGGCUUUUGCAAGAACCUGAUUUUGUUGUAUAUUUUUCCUCUGGAGAAAGAGGAAUCAAGGAGUCAACC